UGUUUCGGCUAGGGGGUCAUCCCGACUUACCAACCCGAUGCAAACUGCGAAUACCGGAGAAUGUUAUCACGGGAGACACACGGCGGGUGCUAACGUUCGUCGUGAAGAGGGAAACAACCCAGACCGCCGGCUAAGGUCCCAAAGUCAUAAUUAAGUGGGAAACGAAGUGGGAAGGCUCAGACAGCCAGGAUGUUGGCUUAGAAGCAGCCAUCAUUUAAAGAAAGCGUAAUAGCUCACUGGUCGAGUCGGCCUGCGCGGAAGAUGUAACGGGGCUAAAUUAUGCACCGAAGCCGCGGCAGCGAUAUGUAAAUAUUGUUGGGUAGGGGAGCGUUCUGUAAGCC
rnacentral:rRNA from 1 species